rnacentral:lncRNA from 1 species
AUAAGAGGGACAACUAUACAUAUAGGGUCAAGCACAUCUCUAAUCCUCAAUAUCAUACAUAACAUUACAUAACUGUUCAAUACUCUUACAUUACAUCAAAACAUUUGUCAUGUCCACAUUCUAACUAUUACAUAACAUCUCUUCAGUACUCUGGCUAACCUUCUGAUCUACCCUGUACCUGCACAUCUGGGGUUAGGGGAGAGGGGUGAGCUAGAAAGCCCAGUGAGCAGAAUAGAGAAAAACAUUAUAUUAGAGUUUCAUGCUCACAUGAAAUGCAACACAUCACAAACAAAUCACAUAAGGAUGGUAUUGUCACCUCUAGUCCUCUACAAUCCAAAGUGCCGGGACGUAGAAUGGGUCAACCGGUCUUUCUCUUACAUAACAUACAUAACAUAACAUUCCAAUAUGCCAGGGACGUAGAAUGGGUCAACCUGGUCUUUCUCUUAUUCUGGCCGGGACGUAGAAUGGGUCAACCGGCAAACAUACCAUACCAUGUCUCAUCAUAACAUAUCAAGGACUAAAGGAUCAUUCAAUGCCCAUCCACAUCAUCAUCAAGUAUGCAAUGCAACAUAUUCGUGAACUAAUGCAAGCAACCUAUUAUAUUCACAUGGCAUUCAUGAUGCAUGGGUCAUGCUCAAAACUCACAUUUCAUUAAUUAAAAAUUUAGGUUAAUUCCACUCACCUCUGGCUAGCUCUGACAAUACUCUGAAGCAGCUAUCACUGCUGGGGUCCUCGGUUCCUCGGGUCCGAACCUACACAGGUGGACUCGAAUGAGGGACCAAACAUACUUUAUCAAGACUCUAACAUACUCCCCAAAAACCCCCUAGAAUAUCAUGAAAACAUCACAUAAAAAUAUGCAUGAAAUGGCUGAACAGGGCACUUUCGGCGGCAGGUUCGGCGGCCGAAAGUCCCAGACAGAGACGAAAGUCAGGCAGGUUCGGCGGCACCUUCGGCGGCCGAAAGUGCCAGACAGAGACGAAAGUCUCUUUUCGGGGGCACCUUCGGCAGCCGAAUGCUGCCUCCACAAGAGGGGUUCGGCGGCCGAAACUUCCUUCGGCUGCCGAACCUGGUUUCUGCCAAACGGGCAGAAACUUGGUUCAAAUGAACCUCCUGCCUCCCAAAACCAUAAAUCAUGCAUAUAACUCAACCAAAACAUGCAUACAAGCUCCUAGGGGCCUCAAACAAACAUAUACCCCAUCUACAACACUCCAAACACACACAAUCAAGCCACAUUGUUCAUUAAAGCAUCAAAAACCCAUAAGCUCAACAUAUACCCUAACAUGCAUUCUACCCCUUAAAACUUCAUAAAACUUGUUUAAAACGCAUAAUAAGGGUGGAUCCGAGCUUACCUCUUGAAGAAACGAGAGGGAAGACGAUCCUAGCUUGGAGAUGAA